rnacentral:rRNA from 1 species
UACGGAGGGUGCAAGCGUUAUCCGGAUUCACUGGGUUUAAAGGGUGCGUAGGAGGGCAGGUAAGUCAGUGGUGAAAUCUCCAAGCUUAACUUGGAACUGCCGUUGAUACUAUCUGUCUUGAAUACCGUGGAGGUGAGCGGAAUAUGUCAUGUAGCGGUGAAAUGCUUAGAUAUGACAUAGAACACCAAUUGCGAAGGCAGCUCGCUACACGAAUAUUGACUCUGAGGCACGAAAGUCGUGGGGAUCAAACAGG